AUAGGGCCUUUCUUUAUCAAAGAGGUAACGAUAUUAGUUAAAUGUCUGUGCAUUUGCAUUAAAAGAAUUUAAUGAGUUACUAUGCUAUUGAUUCAAGUCCAGAAAACCUAUCACAAUACAUGUACUCAACUUUGUGUAAUGGCCAAUGUGUUUACAAACACUCCAGAGGUCACCUAUAGAUUGAUACUGCCAAUAACCAUUGAACAGAAUGCCCCAUAAAUAUUAAGUCUCUAAAAAAUCUGACGUCAGUGAAUUGGAUUUUUGCCUACAGGAUCUUAAUAAAAAAUACAAAGCAAAAACCAGACUGGCCUUCACACAAACCUCCUAGCAUGUGUCAGCUUUUCGGGGCUUUGGAUUGGGUCCAGUCCAUUGAACUUGAGGCCCCAAAAAGAAACAGAGCAAGACCGUGACACUUAAUUGGCCAACUUAUUAAUAUGGAAUAUGGAAAAAUGUGACAGGCAGUUGUAUAGGUGCUAUUUUUGGCAUCCAGAACUCUGGAGAAAAAAUGAUUUGUGUCCAAUUUGCAUGUGAGAAGUUCAGAACUUGUGUACUUGUUUGUUACACGGAGAACUGGUGAUGAGAUCAUAGCAGGAAAUGUAGAUAUACAAUGUACUAGCAAUCUGACAAAACUUUCUGAACACUAGCUUGAUUUGAACCCAGAAAUCUUUAUUAAAAAAUAAUGUUUCUAUAAAUAAGCCUGCAUGGUU
rnacentral:sRNA from 1 species